GACGAACGCUGGCGGCGUGCUUAACACAUGCAAGUCGAACGGAAAGGCCCUGCUUCUGUGGGGUGCUCGAGUGGCGAACGGGUGAGUAACACGUGAGUAACCUGCCCUUGACUUUGGGAUAACUUCAGGAAACUGGGGCUAAUACCGGAUAGGAGCUCCUGCUGCAUGGUGGGGGUUGGAAAGUUUCGGCGGUUGGGGAUGGACUCGCGGCUUAUCAGCUUGUUGGUGGGGUAGUGGCUUACUAAGGCUUUGACGGGUAGCCGGCCUGAGAGGGUGACCGGCCACAUUGGGACUGAGAUACGGCCCAGACUCCUACGGGAGGCAGCAGUGGGGAAUAUUGCACAAUGGGCGGAAGCCUGAUGCAGCAACGCCGCGUGCGGGAUGACGGCCUUCGGGUUGUAAACCGCUUUCGCCUGUGACGAAGCGUGAGUGGCGGUAAUGGGUAAAGAAGCACCGGCUAACUACGUG
rnacentral:rRNA from 1 species